rnacentral:rRNA from 1 species
GAUGAACGCUGGCGGCGUGCUUAAUACAUGCAAGUCGAGCGAACAGAUGAUGAGCUUGUUCCUCUCACGUUAGCGGCGGACGGGUGAGUAACAUGUGGAUAACCUACUUAUAAGACGGGUAUAACUUCGGGAAACCGGCGCUAAUACCGUAUAAUAUAUUGAACCGCAUGGUUGAAUAGUGAAAGACGGCUUUGCUGUCUCUUAUAGAUGGAUCCGCGCCGCAUUAGCUAGUUGGUAAGGUAACGGCUUACGACGGCGACGAGGCGUAGCCGACCUGAUAGGGGGGUCGGCCACACUGGAAGUGAGACACGGUACAGACUCCUACGGGAGGCAGCAGUAGGGAAUCUUCCGCAAUGGGCGGGAGCCUGACGGAGCGACGCCGCGUGAGUGAUGAAGGUCUUCGGAUCGUAAAACUCUGUUAUUGGGGAAGAACAAAUGUGUAAGUAACUAUGCACGUCUUGACGGUAACUGAUCAGAAAGCCACGGCUAACUACGUG